rnacentral:lncRNA from 1 species
CUUUUUCAAUAUUCAUUUCCUUUUUCGGUUUCUAGUUCCUUAUUCGGUUUCUAUUUCCUUAUUGGAUUUUCAUUUCCUUAUUCGAUUUCCAUUUCCUUAUUCAAUUUUCAUUUCCUUAUUCAGUUUCUUUUUCCUUUUUCAAUAUUCAUUUCCUUAUUUGGUUUCUAUUUCCUUAUUCAGUUUCUAUUUCCUUAUUGGAUUUUCAUUUCCUUAUUCGAUUUCCAUUUCCUUAUUCGAUUUUCAUUUCCUUAUUCGGUUUCUUUUUCCUUUUUCAAUAUUCAUUUCCUUUUUCGGUUUCUAUUUCCUUAUUUGGUUUCUAUUUCCUAAUUGGAUUUUCGUUUCCUUAUUUGAUUUAUUCAUUUCCUUAUUCGGUUUCUAUUUCCUUAUUCAGUUUCUAUUUCCUUAUUGGAUUUUCAUUUCCUUAUUCGAUUUCCAUUCCUUAUUCGAUUUUCAUUUCCUUAUUCGGUUUCUUUUCCUUUUUCAAUAUUCAUUUCCUUUUUCGGUUUCUAUUUCCUUAUUCGGUUUCUAUUUCCUUAUUCGAUUAUCAUUUCCUAAUUUUGGUUUCUUUUUCCUUUUUCAAUAUUCAUUUCCUUUUUCGGUUUCUAGUUCCUUAUUCGGUUUCUAUUUCCUUAUUGGAUUUUCAUUUCCUUAUUCAAUUUCCAUUUCCUUAUUCGGUUUCUUUUUCCUUAUUCGGUUUCUUUUUCCUUAUUCGGUGUCUUUUUCUUUUUUCAAUUUCGGUUUCUAUUUCCUUAUUCGGUUUCUAUUUCCUUUUUCGAUUUUCAUUUCCUUAUUCGGUUUCCAUUUCCUUUUUCGAUAUUCAAAUUUUGAAAAAUAUUACAAGUCCAAACUAAAUUUUUUUUUGCUUCAAAACUUUUUUCCUCAAAAAUUUUUUUUCCUCAAAAUUUUUUUUCCUCAAAAUUUUUUUUCCUCAAAAUUUUUUUUUCCUCAAAAUUUUUUUCCUCAAAUUUUUUUUUUUCUCAAAUUUUUUUUUUCCUCAAAUUUUUUUUCCUCAAAAUUUUUUUUUUCUCAAAUUUUUUUUCCUCAAAAUUUUUUCCUCAACAGUUUUCUUUAAAUUUUUUUCCUUUUCGUUUUCUUUUCCUUUUUCGAUUAUCAUCCUUAUUGAUUUCCAUUCUUAUUCGAUUUUUCAUUUCUUAUUCGAUUUCUUUUCUUAUUCGUUUUUCUUCCUUUUUCAAUAUUCAUUUUCCUUAUUCGGAUUUCCUUAUUCAAUUUUCAUUUCCUUAUUCAGUUCUUUUUUUUUCAUUUCAUUUCCUUAUUCGAUUAUAUUUCCUUUUUCGGUUUCUAGUUCUUAUUCGGUUUCUAUUUCCUUAUUGGAUUUUCAUUUCCUAUUCGAUUUCCAUUUCCUUAUUCAAUUUUCAUUUCCUUAUCAGUUUCUUUUUCCUUUAUUCAAUAUCAUUUCCUUAUUUGGUUUCUAUUUCCUUCUUCAGUUUCUAUUUCCCUUAUUGGAUUUUCAUUUCCUUAUUCGAUUUCCAUUUCCUUAUUCGAUUUUCAUUUCCUUAUUCGGUUUCUUUUUCCUUUUUCAAUAUUCAUUUCCUUUUUCUUUCUAUUUCCUUAUUCGGUUUCUAUUUCCUUAUUGGAUUUUCAUUUCCUUAUUCGAUUUCCAUUUCCUUAUUCGAUUUCCAUUUCCUUAUUCGGUUCCUUUUUCCUUUUUCAAUAUUCAUUUCCUUUUUCGGUUUCUAUU